UUUAAAGCAAUUUUUCUUUUCCCAGUCACUACUUGCAAUCUUAUCUUCUAUAUCUGAAAUUCUGUCCUCACAUUGGCUCAUUCUGCUGCAUAGACUUUCAAUGGAGUUUUUAAUGUCCUGGAAAUCUGUUUGCAUCUGUUUUAUGGAUUCCAUUUGUUUCCUAUGUUGGGAUUCCAUCAUGUUCCUCAGCUCCUCUAUUUUUUUAUCUGUGUCUUCUCUAGAUUUAUUAAUCAUGUCUCACACUAUGGGCACAAUCUCUGCUGUUAUGUGAGAAAUUAUUUCUCCUUUCAUUUUUUCCAGAUCCUCUUUUGUUGCUAGUUCAGGGAGUCCAGGUGGUUGAAUAUCAGAAUGUUCCAUCUCGUUUCCCUUUAGGGUCGCUGUAGGUGAUCUGGAAGUCUGGUUUUGAGGCUUGUUUAUGUGUCUUCUCAUUUCGAUGGCGGGGGUGGGGGGUCCUGCUGGUGCCUGAAUGGCGCACCUCCUCUGUGCUGAGAGUGGAGGUAGGUUGGACUGGAAGCCUCCUACUCUGCACUAGGAGCUGUGGCACACUAACCCAGAAGCCUCCUCUGUGCUGGGAGCUGUUGGUAGAGUUUUAAAGUAUGGUGGACCCUUGACUUACAAACUUGAUUGGUUCCCGAGGGUUGGUUGUAACACAAGUUGUUUGUAAGUCAAUACAGCUGAGGUGUGGAUGUUUACCUGGGUAUAUACUGUAGAUAACAAGAGGCAGAUGAAUCUCCCAUUAACCUAAUUAACCCAAGUUUUUCAUAUAUCAGGCCGGUUGUAACUUGAGGGUCCAUUGUAUAUUAAAAACAACACAUAAUUGGCAUAGAAAAAUCUUAACAUGAGUACUAACCAGAAUCAUACCUCCUAUACACUUUGGAAAACAUAAUUUUAUGUUGAUAGAUUUCAUGACAAAGGAUCAGGGAAGGCGUUACAGGAAAAGCAAUCUUUAGAAACCGAGUCUUCAAGAGUUAUAUGAGAAGUUAGAUUGAUGGAGAAGGGAAGCAGUGUUUCCCCAGCAGAGACUAAGCUACAUUGAAAAGCAGGUAGUUGGUUAGCAGAUAUCACUAGAUAUGCAGAAAGUGAGGAAGUCUGCCAUACAUGGAAGUAAAUGUAUAGAAGAAGAAGAAAAAAGGUUUUUUUUUCUUUUUUCAAAAAUUUCCACAGAUAUUAGGCAACAUUCAUUUUAAGUAAGUGCAAUCCAUGCGGUUGUUAAUUUAUAUUUUCACUGAAUAUCCUCUCCUAUUUUUAUAGAAUGAAAUCUGAUAGUAAUUUUUGAACUCUUCCAGGAAUGGAGGAAAAGGAAAAUAGAAAUCAGAGGCAAUCUGGCAUGAUUGUUAAGAAGAGAGGCUGAGGAACUUGAAGGGUUUCAUACCCCAGCUCCUCUGCUAUGAGUGGUUUGCCUUAACCCAGUCAAGUCGUCUAAGACUCGAGGGCCUUUUGUCUGUAAAGUGUGAAAAAUAAUGCCUGUGUCCAG
ensembl:lncRNA